ACCUGCACAUUGUCACGGGAACAAACCAUCCCCACAGGGACUGGCAUUUGUAAGCCAUUGUCAUACAUGCUUGGCACGUUAGAAAUCCAGAGGGCAGAAUGCCUCCCUCUCUCCACUACAAAUAAAGGUAGCCAGGCAGGUCAGAGUUAAUGAACAACAUACCAUGAUGUCUUCUUUAACAAAUCCCUGGCAACUAAGCUUCCUCACCACAAACAAAUGAACAAGUGCCAUUCAGCAGCCACUCCAAGCUGGUGUUAGGUCAGUGCCCGGCCAGAGGUUCACGAUAUCUAUGGAAAGCAGGUUGCAAUGGCUCGGGCGGGAGAGUGUAAUUGAUGGACAAACUCAAGCACUCAAAGGCCACCCAUUUGCUUCCCACCUCAAACCUCUUAGCCAGUGAUACAGAGAGAAGAAGAGGAGGAAGAGCCUGGCGGGGCCGGCAGAGCUAAAACUGUGAAUUGCAUUUGACGGGGGAGAACACCUGAGGUGGAGGAGAGGUUAAGGGGCUCGUCUGAGUUCACACAGCAGGUCAGUGCCGGAGCAUGGAUUGGUGAGUUGGGAAUCACCAUGGCCUCGUGGUCUCAAAUAAAACAUCCCUUUGCUUGUGUGUGGGUUUGUGAAGCUGCCUGCCCGGUAACCUCCCCUGGGCUAGGUCUGCAGAAUGAGGUUCCACUGGGGCACUUCAGCUGCCUCAUUCUGCAGAGUUCUUGCUCCGGAUUCUGAAGCAUCUGCAAAGGAGACACGUCGCCUGGGUCUUGAGAAGACAGAACUGUUUGCCCCACGCUGGGAACUACUGGGGAAGGGGAAGGGCACAUGAGGCUUGGCCAGAGUGCCUGGAGGCUGGCUUAGGGCCAGCUGCAUGAUCCUUGCAUGAAGGAGGAGGAACGGCCCUCUUCAUAUGCCAUCACCUAAGGCCACCUCCCAUCCUCUGCCUGGGACACUGGCUCCUGGAAAAUGCUCUUUCCUCCUGGUGCCACAGCCCCAGCGAGCUCGACGCAGCUCCCCUUCCACAGACACAGAACUCUCCAAACUCCCAGUGGUUUGGGAAGAACAGCCACCACAUCCCAAGCCCAGCACCACCUUUUGGGAUGUGAUAUGUCAAAGUAGUAAGAUGAUGAAGUGUCCUGUGCCGGCCCAUCAGAGCCUUAGCGACAGAUAUGGGCCCAGAGUGCCUUGGAGAGCCAGAGCCUCUGCAGUGACGUGGAAUUUAUUAUACUUUCCAUCCAUCGCUUGGCAGCCUUCUCCCAGCUCUUUUCUCUUGAAAAAUGGUUCCUGCCAAUCUUGCUGUUUACUUAAGUGGUUAUUAAGUAUUUUUCCCGCUGCUGGUCUGGGUACUUCUUGAUAAACAUUAUCUAUUUAAGAAGAACUUUUAGGGAGAGCUCCACUCUGCCCCUACACACACACACACACACACACACACACACACACACACACACACACGUGUAUGCACACACACGUAUGUGCAUACAGACGCACAUGCGCGUGUACACACACACACACACACACACA
rnacentral:lncRNA from 10 species